UGGGGAAUAUUGCACAAUGGAGGGAACUCUGAUGCAGCGACGCCGCGUGAGUGAUGAAGGAAUUCGUUUCGUAAAACUCUGUUCUAUGGGAAGAAAAGGACUGUACCAUAGGAGAAAGCUCCGGCUAAAUACGUGCCAGCAGCCGCGGUAAUACGUAUGGAGCGAGCGUUGUCCGGAAUUAUUGGGCGUAAAGGGUGCGCAGGCGGCUUUACAAGUUGGAUGUGAAAUAUUGUGGCUCAACCACAAACGUGCAUCCAAAACUGGAAAGCUUGAGUUAAGGAGAGGUAAGUGGAAUUCCUGGUGUAGCGGUUGAAUGCGUAGAUAUCAGGAGGAAUACCGGUGGCGAAGGCGACUUACUGGACUUAACCUGACGCUCAGGCACGAAAGCGUGGGGAGCAAACAGG
rnacentral:rRNA from 1 species